rnacentral:rRNA from 1 species
CAUGCAAGUCGAGCGAUGAAGCUACUUCGGUAGUGAAUUAGCGGCGAACGGGUGAGGAACACGUGAGGAAUCUGCCUUCAACACUGGGAUAACUCCGGGAAACCGGGGCUAAUACCGGAUACGAGCCUUGAUCGCAUGAUCGAGGCUGGAAAGUUUUUCGGUUGAAGAUGACCUCGCGGCCUAUCAGCUUGUUGGUGAGGUAAUGGCUCACCAAGGCGACGACGGGUAGCCGGCCUGAGAGGGCGACCGGCCACACUGGGACUGAGACACGGCCCAGACUCCUACGGGAGGCAGCAGUGGGGAAUAUUGGGCAAUGGAGGAAACUCUGACCCAGCGACGCCGCGUGCGGGAUGAAGGCCUUCGGGUUGUAAACCGCUUUCAGUAGGGAAGAAGCGAAAGUGACGGUACCUACAGAAGAAGCACCGGCUAACUAUGUGCCAGCAGCCGCGGUAAUACAUAGGGUGCAAGCGUUGUCCGGAAUUAUUGGGCGUAAAGAGCUCGUAGGUGGUUUGAUACGUCGGGUGUGAAAUUCAGGGGCUCAACCCCUGACCUGCAUUCGAUACGGUCAAGCUAGAGUUUGGUAGGGGAGACUGGAAUUCCUGGUGUAGCGGUGGAAUGCGCAGAUAUCAGGAGGAACACCGAUGGCGAAGGCAGGUCUCUGGGCCAAUACUGACACUGAGGAGCGAAAGCGUGGGGAGCGAACAGGAUUAGAUACCCUGGUAGUCCACGCCGUAAACGGUGGGCGCUAGUUGUGCGAACCUUCCACGGUUUGUGCGACGCAGCUAACGCAUUAAGCGCCCCGCCUGGGGAGUACGAUCGCAAGAUUAAAACUCAAAGGAAUUGACGG